AGCCAUGCAUGUGUGAGUUCAACUGAACAUAGUGAAACCGCGGACGGCUCAGUAAAUCAGUCUGAAUCCAUCGAAUGGUGAUUCCAAUAAGGAUAUCUCAAGUAACCCUUGAGCUAAUACUUGGUACCAUCCCUUUGUGGAUGUUUAACUCUGGUCUCUAUCCGGCCGCACCUGAGACGUGUGGUGCCAUAGGAAGUGUAACAGUAGAGGUUUCGAUCCCGCUUCGAAUACGACGGGACGCAAUCACGGAAUGUCUGACCUAUCAAUUAGGGACGGUAGUGUAUUGGACUACCAUGGUUCUGACGGGUGACGGGGAAUCAGGGUUCUAUUCCGGAGAGGCAGCCUAAGAAACGGCUACUACACCUAAGGGAGGCAGCAGGCGCGCAAAUUACCCAAUACUAGAUUAGUGAGGUAGUGACGAGAAAUAACAAUACAUCACUUUUGUGUUGUAAUUGGAAUGACAGUGAAUUAAAGUCUCUAUGAAGGAGCAAGUGGAGGGCAAGUCUGGUGCCAGCAGCCGCGGUAAUACCAGCUUCCACAAGCAUAUGCAUAAGUUGCUGCGUUUAGAAAGCUCGUAGUUGGUGCUGUUACGGGAGCCGCAACUGGUCACUGAUGUGCCACGUGGUGCCUGUAUCUGUGUGCCUCCGGCGUGUUGCACUUAAUUGUGUGAUGCACUGGAGACAGUUUUACCUAGAAUAAAUCAGGGUGUUCAAAGCAGCCUUUGGGUAUGAAUAUUGGAGCAUGGAAUAAUAGAACAGGACUGCCGACUGUUUUAUGGGUGUUUUGGUAUGGCGAUAAUGGUCAACAAAAUCAAUUGGGGGUGUUUGUAUUGCUGCGUCAGAGGUGAAAUUCUUGGAUCGCAGCAAGACAGUCUACUGCGAAAGCAUUUGCCAAAAGUGUUUUUACUUAUCAAGAACGAAAGUUGGAGUAUUGAAGAGGAUUAGAUACCCUCGUAAUUCUAACCAUAAACUAUUCAUACUCGACUUGUGCUAGAUCAAACGUGUUCCAGCAUGAGUCAUCUGGGAAACUAAAGUCUUUCUGUUACGGGGGUAGUAUGGUUGCAAAAUCGAAACUUAAAGGAAUUGACGGAAGGGCACCACCAGGAGUGGAGCCUGCGGCUUAAUUCGACUCAACACGGGGAAACUCACCAGGUCCAGACAUGGUUAAGAUUGACAGACUAGAUAUUCAUCAUGAUACCUUGGGUGGUGGUGCAUGGCCGUUCUUAGUUAGUGGAGUGCUCUGUCUGGUUGAUUCCGAUAACGAACGAGACCUUUUUCUACUGAAUAGCGUCGCCGGGUUGGCUUGUUACGCUACUAAGAGAGACCAAGCGGAUUCUUUACUGUUUGGAAGUUGGGCUAUAACAGGUCUGUGAUGCCCUUAGAUGUCCUGGGCUGCACGCGCGCUACACUGAGUAUAACAAUGCGAGUACUUUUGUCCGAAAGGGACUGGGAAACCGUUGAAAUAUUUCACAUUCUUGGGAUCGAUUUCUGGAAUUUCGAUUCGUGAACGAGGAAUUCCUAGUAAGUGCCAGUAAGUAUCUGGUGCUGAUUACGUCCCUGCCCUUUGUACACACCGCCCGUCGCUACUACUGAUUGGGUGUUUGAGCAAGUUUCGUGGACGUCCUAGCUGCUUUUAGUGGCUGUGGAUGAAAGCAAAGCGAGUUCAGGCGUCUA
rnacentral:rRNA from 1 species